UACAGAGGGGGCAAGCGUUGUUCGGAAUUACUGGGCGUAAAGGGCUCGUAGGCGGCCAACUAAGUCGGAUGUGAAAUCCCCAGGCUUAACCUGGGAACUGCAUCCGAUACUGGAUGGCUUGAAUCCGGGAGAGGGAUGCAGAAUUCCAGGUGUAGCGGUGAAAUGCGUAGAUAUUAGGAAGAACACCAGUGGCGAAGGCGGCUCACUGGCCCGGUACUGACGCUGAGGCGCGAAAGCGUGGGGAGCAAACAGG
rnacentral:rRNA from 1 species